rnacentral:piRNA from 1 species
CCUUGGUGUACUGGAAGAAUCAGAUC